AAAGUCAGAUGUGAAAUCCUACAGCUUAACUGUAGAACUGCAUUUGAAACUUCCAACCUAGAGUAUGGGAGGGGGAGAUGGAAUUAGUGGUGUAGGGGUAAAAUCCGUAGAUAUCACUAGGAAUACCUAAAGCGAAGGCGAUCUCCUGGAACAUUACUGACGCUAAGGUGUGAAAGCGUGGGGAGCAAACGGGAUUAGAUACCCCGGUAGUCCACGCCCUAAACGAUGAACACUAGUCGUCGGGAUGCUUGUCAUCUCGGUGAUGCACUUAACAGAUUAAGUGUUCCGCCUGGGGAGUACGGUCGCAAGAUUAAAACUCAAAGGAAUAGACGGGGACCCGCACAAGUGGUGGAGCAUGUGGUUUAAUUCGAAGAUACGCGAAGAACCUUACCUAGCCUUGACAUUGAAGAAAUACCCUAGAGAUAGAGUAGUGCCCUUCGGGGAAUCUGAAAACAGGUGCUGCACGGCUGUCGUCAGCUCGUGUCGUGAGAUGUUGGGUUAAGUCCCGCAACGAGCGCAACCCUCGUCAAUAGUUGCCAGCAGGUUAAGCUGGGCACUCUAUUGAGACUGCCUUCGCAAGGAGGAGGAAGGUGAGGACGACGUCAAGUCAUCAUGGCCCUUAUGGCUAGGGCUACACACGUGCUACAAUGGGGCGUACAGAGUGUUGCGAUACCGUGAGGUGGAGCCAAUCACUUAAAGCGUCUCUCAGUUCGGAUUGAAGUCUGCAACUCGACUUCAUGAAGCUGGAAUCACUAGUAACCGUAGAUCAGCAAUGCUACGGUGAAUACGUUCCCGGGUCUUGUACUCACCGCCCGUCACACCAUGGGAGUUGAUUUCGCCCGAAAUUGGGAAGCUAACCUUCGGGAGGCUACCACUUACGGCGGAAUUAGCGACUGGGGUGAAGUCGUAACAAGGUAGCC
rnacentral:rRNA from 1 species